AGCACACUGGGGUCAGGAGUGGAGAUACUUAGGCUCCCCAGAGAAAUUAGUCACAAGUCUUAUCCCUUCAUCUCCAUUUACAGCCAUUUAUUUGGGAGCAACAUACUUUAAAUGAGUGAUAAACAAAAUGUCUCCCCACAGCCCCCACCCCAGCAUGUGUUCUGAAGUUCACAGGAAGGCUUCUCCUCAUUUGCUUUGGGGCCCGCAGGCUGCCUGCUAACAGCUGGGUCUUCCCAUGAACAAAUUAGACAGUUAAUGUUCCAGGAUGAAGAGGGCUUCGGGGAACAGAAUCUGCCGUUUAUUUGACUUGCUUCAUUAGACACAGUGCCAUCAUACCAAAAUUAGAAAAAAGAAGGAACUCAGCGGAAAUCAGCUACACAAGAAGAACCUCUCAGUUCUGAGAAUUCACAUUAACCAGUGAUUAAGAAAUAUUAAAAAGGGCUGAUAGUCCACUACGUUAUCAAGUUCAAAGCCUAAGAAAUAUUGAACAUUUCCACACAUGAAUGUGGGUACUAUGUUUAAUUUGAGAAUGGCCAACUGUCCUCGAAGUCUCAAUCUCUUUGGAGCCUACCAGCUCCGAGAGAAGUUUGAGGAUGCUGCAAAACCCUCCCCUGCAAAUCCAUCUACUCCUCCCACUUCUAUCCUAAUGGGUAUAGUUCUUGGCUGUGCUGAGGAUCUGUAAGGCACCAGAUGUGAAAGUAAGGAAGAAAGAUGGAUGUGGAAGAAAGUCACUGCCCAGAGAAUAAGGAGACCUGGAUUCUAAUCUCAGCUCUGCCAUUAACUAGCUGUGAAGUGUUUGUUCAAAGAGAGACCAUGUAUAAGAUAUUUGAUGAAAAUGCUACUGAACAACAGAACCUGAAUCAGUGAAACUAUGGCUCAAAAGGGAAUAAGAGAUCAAGGCAAGCAUGGACAUCUUGUACGUGGAAGUGCAGACCAGAACUUGUAUCACAGCCAGUCAUAUCUGGUGCUUUCCAUGCUACUUUUACAUACAUGUAUCCUUAAAUUUGAUCCUCUUCUAGUUUAGUCUAAACUCUUUACUUUGUAACUUCCAAACCUAAAAGGUGCAGCAGACAUUGACAAU
rnacentral:lncRNA from 1 species